rnacentral:lncRNA from 10 species
CUUUAUUGUUAAUAUUCAAAACCAUUACAAUUAAUCAGUAUAUUUUCCAAGUACAGUACAUAUAAAUUUAUUCUAAACUAGGCAACAUAAAAACAAACCUAAACUUCAGGAUAAUGAAUACUUCUGGGAAGAAGCAUGGAGAUGGGAUGAGGAGGGGCAUAUAGAUGCAAGUUAUUGGUGAUGAAAGUUAAUUGACAACCGUUUUUGGAAUCUUAUACAUUCAGUGGGAAGUGAGACUGAAUUACCUCUAAAUUAUUUCUCAGAAUAAGCCAAAAGGCUGCUUGUAAGAAUAAUGAAAUAUAUACACAGGCAAUGAAUGUGUCAGUCACUUAUAUUAUUGAUAAUAUUAUUAAGCUUUUGCCAUGAUUAUAUCUGGUUCUACUUUAACUAGGGCAGUUUAAUAAAUAAACUUGAUCAAAGCAAUGACUCUUGAAUUAAAGCCUUUGGGAUUAAAGUCCUACUGCCUGAUGCUUAUAAGAGACAUAAAAAAGAAAAUGGCAUGGAAAUAUUCAAAGUACGCAAACUCAAACGAAAUGAACCAUAAAUCAUAACAGUACUUGUAACAUAGUAGAUAUUUAUUACUAUUAAAGAUAUAAAUGCAUAAUAAACACCUAACAAUAGUGAAUUCUUCUGCACCAAAUUACAGAACAUCUAAAUAUAUAGAGUGAAUACUUUUCAUAAUGCUUGGAAAAAUACAAAAAGUAUGAUAAAUAAUAAAAACACUUAUCUUUACAGAUAUUAAUUCUUUGUAAUGAUUGCACUCUGUGAGGCAGAUAAGUUGCUUUUCCAUGUGGUCACGUGGAGAAAGUGACUUCAGUGGAUUUUGAAUGCAAGCCAUUUGGCUCUAAAGUCUUUGCUUUUAAUGCAUAUAAUGCCCCUCAAAGAUUGUAUUUACAAUAUAUCUACAGUAAGUACGUAUAUAUUUAAUUCUGUUUAUUACAAAAUUAAAACAUUACAUCUUCUUUACAAACAUCUCUGAACUAUUUUUAAAAUGUUCAUAUUCUGCAUUCUGACUACUCAAGCUAUAUAGGCUCUAUGACUAGCAGCCUGGACCUCCUCCAGGGUCUUGACAGGUAGGCAGCAUCCUCAGUGACUCCAGAUUUCCAGAAUCAGAAUCUGCAUUUUUACAAGAUCUCAGGAGGAUGUAUAUGCACAUUAAAGUCUGCCAAGCAUUGGAAAAAUUAUCAAACCUUGUUCAAAUCAUAAAAUAGCCAAGGUACAUCCUGUCAUCACAAAUCAAUUAACAAUGGAAAAUAAUAUGUUAACAAGAAAUCACUUAAAAAUUGAAAAACAAUUGCUUUGAAAAAUUGCUUAAAGAGGACAAGAAUGAAAUCUCAGCAUCAGAUUUUUCAUAAGCCAACAAUAUGAGAACAAAGCAUAGUCUUGUCAAAUGUAACAAAAUCAGUGUUAAAUGGUAAACUUGCAAUGCAUGUUGUCAAAAGGAUGUAAACUGAACUAUUCUUUAAUUCAAAUAAUUAUUAAACUAUACCCUAAGAAUAUAAGAAAUAGAACACAAUAAAUAUUAAAACAGAAAACAAUGAGUUAAAAAUAUGAGGAAGUAAAAUGCAACAGUCCAAAACCUAGCUUUUUGAGAAAAAAAAAAUAGAUGAAUUCCUGGGAAAUUAAACAACAAUUUUUAAAAAACUGAAAACAAGUAAAACCAACCAAACAAACAAAACACCCAGGCAAUUAGAAAGAGAAAAGGGACUGAAUCAGGCAGCUGAAGUGAAAUGAACACGAGUAAAGGUGACCUAUUCCUUUUGCUUCAGGACCAAACACUUUCUAUUCUUUUCUCUUGUUUCUUGAUAAACAAUUAGGACAUUGAGGAGCUUCUCUGGUCCUUGUUUUCAUCUUCUUAUUGAUUAGAUUAUACAAUAAUGUAGCUAAGGGCACCAUAUUCUUUGGAUAUUCAUUGAAAUGCUGGGAGGUAUUUAUGAAUUUUUAAUGACAUAGUUCUCGGUCAAUUCCCAGUUACUGACAAUCCCCUUUGUGCAGAGUCUGAGGCCAGGCAAAGUGCAGCAGGAGAGCCGGGAGAGAGCACACAGCCCCUGCCUUCAGAGAGCCGACUACCCCGAGACUUUUCUGGCAAGAGCAUCACCUGCCUAACCUUGCCUCUGGCGGAUUGAUUCUGGCUGUAGGAGAAGAACCAGGCAGGGACAAUAGAGGUUCCUUAUGGCAAAUGACUCUGCCCAGCAAGGGAUUUCUAGGAGAGCCACAGCCCCUCCUUCCUCAGUUCCAAACUGGAGUGACAGAUGUGGUCAUCUACCAUCAGAGGCUUUGAAGAGUCACAGCAUUCAUUUGAUAAUUGAAGGAUUGGUUAAGAAAAGACACUUCAUUAAACAAGGAAGUUACAAUGAAUACAUGUAUACACAUAAAUAAAGGCUACUGAAAAAAACACAUCAUCUUAACAGUGAUUAGCUCUAGGUGUAGUUUUCUAUAGCUCUAGCUAUAGUUUUCUUCGUAUUUUUGAAGUAUUCUAACAUGAAAAGUUUAUAUCUGGAAAAAUUACCUUAACAUGAUACAAUAUUCUGUUAUUGAUUUUUCAUUUAUAUAAAAUGUUUCUUUAUCUUCAGCCUCAUCUCCUUGGGGCUCUCUUCUCUAUUUAUAAUAGGUAUGUAUAACCAAACCUGUAACCUCUGGCCUCCAAUGAAACAGGGAGAAUUUGGGAUAAGGGAAUUCCCUCAGCUGGGAAUGCAGUGGGAGGGAGGAUGGGAGAGGAAGACAGCAUCACUUACAGCUGUUCUCAUAUGAGCAAAAUCAAGUGAACGUUGAGGAGACUCUUGGGCAAGUUUCAGGACCAUAUACGGAUGUGAUCUGCAGAGACAAAGACUGGACGGCUCCUCUGGCUGCUGGUUUCGGAAUCAGUGAUUCUCAAACCUACCUUCACCUUGGAAUCACCUGGGGAAUUUGCACAUCUGCACCACCAGAAUAUAUCUCAGAUCAAAUACAUCUGAAUCUCUGAGAAAUGGAAACUGGGUUUCUAGAAUCACUCUCCAGGUGAUUCUAAUAUGGAUUCAAGAUUGAGAACCAUCAAGGUUUCCUUUGCAUGCAAUAUGGAAAUAAUUAAACCAUAAUCCCCCUCGAUUUGCAAUUGUGCCACCUGGUAGACGCAGUUUAAGAAGUAGCUAUCAGAACAAAAUCACAUAUUACAGCCAUCUGACCUCUUUCGAGGUCAACAGAGUCGAACCAUCCCACAGAAAGAUUUGCACUGGGAAGUCAUUGUGUCUGUAUUCCAGAAAAUCAUGUGGUAUGUUAGAAAAAGUGCAAGCUCUGGAGGUAAACAGACCCGAGCCCCCCAGUGACUGGUUCAGAUCCGUCGCAUACCCCGCCUCUUACUUCGCCCACCAUGGAGGCAGCCAGAUCCUCACAGGCCUGGAAAGCCUUAGCACCUGCAACUCCAAAGUUCUCCAACUCCCCACCAGCCUGAGGAGCCCAGCUGGCUUCACCAAGUGGAUACUGCACAGGGGCCGCAGGUGGAGCUGCCUGCCAGUCCCGCGCCGUGCGCCCGCACUCCUCAGCCCUUGGGUGUUCGGAU